rnacentral:rRNA from 1 species
UGAGCUUGCGCCACAUUAGUUUGUUGGUGGGGUAAUGGCCUACCAAGACGAUGAUGUGUAGCUGGACUGAGAGGUCGAACAGCCACAUUGGGACUGAGACACGGCCCAAACUCCUACGGGAGGCAGCAGUAGGGAAUUUUCGGCAAUGGAGGAAACUCUGACCGAGCAACGCCGCGUGAACGAUGAAGUAUUUCGGUAUGUAAAGUUCUUUUAUUGAAGAAGAAAAAAUAGUGGAAAAACUAUCUUGACGUUAUUCAAUGAAUAAGCCCCGGCUAACUAUGUGCCAGCAGCCGCGGUAAGACAUAGGGGGCGAGCGUUAUCCGGAAUUAUUGGGCGUAAAGGGUGCGUAGGCGGUUAGGAAAGUCUAUAAUUUAAUUUCAGUGCUUAACGCUGUCUUGUUAUAGAAACUACCUUGACUAGAGUUAGAUAGAGGCAAGCGGAAUUCCAUGUGUAGCGGUAAAAUGUGUAAAUAUAUGGAGGAACACCAGAAGCGUAGGCGGCUUGCUGGGUCUUGACUGACGCUGAGGCACGAAAGCGUGGGUAGCAAACAGGAUUAGAUACCCUGGUAGUCCACGCCGUAAACGAUGAGUACUAAGUGUCGGGAUAAAACUCGGUACUGAAGUUAACACAUUAAGUACUCCGCCUGAGUAGUACGUACGCAAGUAUGAAACUUAAAGGAAUUGACGGGACUCCGCACAAGCGGUGGAUCAUGUUGUUUAAUUCGAAGAUACACGAAAAAUCUUACCAGGUCUUGACAUGCUCUGCAAAGCUAUAGAAAUAUAGUGGAGGUUAUCAGGGACACAGGUGGUGCAUGGUUGUCGUCAGUUCGUGUCGUGAGAUGUUAGGUUAAGUCCUAAAACGAGCGCAACCCUUGUCGUUAGUUACCAGCACGUAAUGGUGGGCACUUUAACGAGACUGCCAAUUAAACAUUGGAGGAAGGUGAGGAUUACGUCAAAUCAUCAUGCCCCUUAUGAUCUGGGCUACAAACGUGAUACAAUGGCUGUUACAAAGAGUAGCUGAAGCGCGAGUUUUUAGCCAAUCUCAAA